rnacentral:lncRNA from 1 species
UAUAAUUAUGCACGUCUAAUGAUUUUCUUUUAAUUCAAAAAUUAAUUUUUUUCUUCGGAUUUUAAGAACAUUCAUGGAAAUUAUUUCUUCGAGUUAGUGACGGACAUGGUAAGACCAAAUGUUAUUCAGAUUAUCGAUCGAUUUUCAAUUGCUUCAUGGAACUCCAGCAUAAGAGAAGCAGUCAAUCAAGGCCAUGCCCAGAAGGCUCUUAUUCUUUUUCGCCAAUUGAAACGAAACUCUUAUGUACAGCCCAACAAUUUAACUUUCCCAUUUAUUGCAAAAGCUUGUGCAAAGCUCUCAAAGCUGAAGUACUCCCAGAUGAUUCAUGCUAAUGUUGCAAAAUCGCCAUUUUGUUCAGAUGUUUAUGUACAAACAGCUUUGGUCGACAUGUAUGUAAAAUGCAGUAGCUUAGAUCAUGCAUUUGAUCUGUUUGAUAACAUGGCUGAAAGAGAUUUAGCAGCGUGGAAUGUGAUCAUUAUGGGUUUUGCUCAGUUGGGUUUUUUGGAUAGAGUUUCAUGUUUGUUUAAGGGGUUGAGGAUGGAUAACAUCAUGCCUGAUGCAGUAACGAUCAUGGGGUUGACACAAUUGGUGUCUGGGUUAAAGGAUACGAGGUUAUUGAGCUCUGUACAUUGCUUUGGGAUGAAAUGUGGGUGUGCAGGGGAUGUUACCGUUACCAAUACUUGGAUUGCUGGCUAUGCCAAGUGUGGUGACCUGUUCUCGGCUGAGAUGGUGUUUUGUGGUAUUGGCAUCGAUGCUUUGACUGUGGUUUCUUGGAAUGCUAUGAUUGUGGGAUGUGCAUGUGUUGAGGAACCGGUGAAGGCUCUUGGGGUGUACCAACAUAUGCUUCUCGACGGAUUUAGGCCUGAUUUGUGUACCAUUCUUAAUCUGCUCUCCUCAUGUACUCAGCCUGAUUCUUUAUUUUAUGGUAUGCUAAUUCAUGCUCAAGGAAUAAAAGUGGGUUGUAAUGAGAAUAUUGCUGUUCUUAAUACUCUUAUUUCCAUGUAUUCCAAGUGUGGAAAUGUUGACAUGGGAAGAAGUGUAUCUAGUAGCAUGACUGAGAGAACACCAGUUUCAUGGACUGCUAUGAUUGGAGGGUAUUCUGCAAAAGGUGAUUUGGAGGAGGCAUUAUCUAUGUUCCAUGCUAUGGAGGCUUCUGGCGAGACACCUGAUUUUGUUACCAUGAUCCAUUUGAUUUCAGCAUGCGGCCAAAUUGGAGCACUUGAGGUUGGAAAAUGGAUUGAUAAUUACACCAUUUUGAAGGGAUUGAAAAGCAAUGUGAUGGUAUGUAAUGCAUUGCUAGACAUGUACGCAAAAUGUGGAAGUUUAAGAGAUGCUCAGGAACUCUUCGGUACUAUGCAAGGGAAGACUGUGGUCUCUUGGACAACUAUGAUAGCAGGAUAUGCACUAAAUGGAAAAACACAAGCAGCUUUAGAUUAUUUUCAUCGAAUGUUAAAGUUGGGUUUGAAACCAAAUAACGUAACUUUCCUUGCUGUUCUUCAAGCAUGUACUCAUGCGGGUCUGUUGAAUGAAGGGCAGGGAAUUUUUGAUAUGAUGAUUAAAGUGUAUAGAAUAAAUCCCGGACUAGACCAUUAUGCUUGCAUGACUGAUCUCCUUGGACGCCAAGGAAGACUGAAAGAAGCGUUGAACUUUAUUGAAGAUAUGCCUAUCAAACCAGAUGCUGGAAUUUGGGGUGCUUUCCUUUUUGCUUGCAAGAUCCAUCACAACCUAGAGCUUGGCGUGUAUGCUACACAUCGACUUUUGCAACUUGAAUCACAGGCUGCAGCUCCUUAUGUUGAAAUGGCAAAUAUAUACGCAUCAGCAGAAGAUUGGGAUGGGGUUGCUGCAAUGUGGAUGAAAAUGAAACGCAAGCAAGUGACAAAAUCCCCGGGGCAAAGUGCAAUACUGGUGAAUGGAAAACGUUAUUGUUUUACUGUAGAAGAUAGAAACCAUUCUCAGGGCUCUCAAACGUUUGAAACAUUGGAUAGCUUAGUUUCACAGUUGAAAGAUGAAGUACAUUUAUUUUGUACUCCGGAACUUGUGGAUUCAUCAAUUGGCCAUGAGAAAACCACAUAAGAAAACUGGAUUGCAGAGAAUUUUGAAACCGUACGAGAGCUAGAUGGAGUAUCAAUCAGAAUCAGGACGGUAACACUAUUGCAAUGAUUAUGCUGAUGCACUCCUGUAAACUACUAAAGAUUUCAAUAUGCUAACCUAUACUCCAUGACAAAGAUAUUCCAGCCUCAGGGGCUGGAGAUUACAUUGCAGCCAUACUUUAUCAGUCUAGGACAGCCUCGUGUGAUUUAUAACUAAAUUUUAUGAUGUCACUUACCAUAAGAAGCAAGAAGGAGAAGAUUGAUAGUUUUUGUGGUUUUUAAUUAUUACGGCCACUUUGAAAGCAAUUACAUUGCCAUACAAUAAUGAAUUGAAAAAGUAAAAAAAACUUUGAAGUACAAGGUCAUACAACGAUCUAUCAUUCAAAUGCUGCUUUUAGCUAUACCUGGUUAUGAUUUUAGUAUAAAAUGGCUAUAAAAGAUGAGUUUCAUGCGUGGUUCACCUCAAGUUGUAACUCAAAUAGGAGGUUUGGGCCGAUACAUGACAGUUCAACGUUUUCUUUAGUUGCAUUCACUGUAUUUCCACCUAAUGUUUAACGGCUGCUUUAACUUAGUGAUUUAGUCUAUCAAUUCCUACAUUUUGUCAUUGGUUUUUGAUGGCUGGCAAAUUUUUGAUGUUUGAGCACAGGUAAUAGAAGCAUUUUAGUGCCAUUACUGAUUUCUUACUGGAACAAAUGGCCCCAUUGUGAAUCUCAACGUCUUUGAACCAGAAACAGAAGCUGUAGCUUGUAUAUAUAUACAGACAGCCAAUUUUGGACAGCAAAUCUUAACUGGACAACCCACUAUGGGAGUGGUUGGGAGACGCAAUUAGGUGACAGAAUUGCACCCUUUUUUUUUUUUUUUUUCCUGUAACUAAAGACAGCUAAAGCUCACAUUUGGGUGGCGACAGAUGUAUUGUUUGAUCUUGAUUUAGUUGAUAUAUGAAAAUGUAACACACUCAAUGGAAUUGGAGGCUAUAUGAAAAUUGUGUCUUACAACUGGGCUAUAAGGUUAAUCCUAUAUGAACAACAUUUUUCAAUUGCUACACAGGAGAAAAGAUCAGAAAUUUUAUCAGAUGAAGAACAAAGAGAACACUCUGAAUCUCCUUGCCGCAAGAUUACAAGUCGAAGAAGUGCAAUGCCAUUACUCCUAAUAAACCAAAAAGGAUAUAUCUAUUCUAUUUGUUCCAAUCCAAAUUAUUUAUUGGCUUUGUAGACAUANNNNNNNNNNNNNAUACAGAUUACGAAUAGUCCUGUAUCUGCGUCUCUUUGGGUUGCAAUUGAUCACACAAUCUUGCAUGAUUUUCUUUGAUGAAGUGAUUUGAACACCAUUUGUAUUACCAUAAUUAUAUUUCCUCUUGUUGGAGGUUGAAUUCGUUAUAUUGCUCUUGUCAUCCUCUUCAUCUCCAAAUAUAUGUAUAAGCUGCUCCGCCACCCCUGCCGCCUUAUCUACCUCUGACAAGCUCCCUUGCCCAGAUGGCGAUGUUGAACAAGCCAUGAAAAAUAUGCAGAAAUGAAGAAAGAACUCUGUAAGUCUCUCUUUCUCUCCGUG